rnacentral:rRNA from 1 species
AUUGGAAGUAAAAGUCGUAACAAGGUCUCCGUAGGUGAACCUGCGGAAGGAUCAUUAUUGAAUCCUCAGGAUGUCGCUGGCUUCUCGCAAGGGAAGCAUGUGCACUCCGCCUUCAAUCCACCUGUGCACUAUUUGUAGGUCAAAGGGGGAAACCCCUCUGCCUAUGCUUUUUACACACACUUUAAAGUAUCAGAAUGUAACACUGUAGACCUUCAGGUCGAAAUAACAAUACAACUUUCAACAACGGAUCUCUUGGUUCUCGCAUCGAUGAAGAACGCAGCGAAUUGCGAUAUGUAAUGUGAAUUGCAGAAUUCAGUGAAUCAUCGAAUCUUUGAACGCACCUUGCGCCCUUUGGUAUUCCGAAGGGCAUGCCUGUUUGAGUAUCAUUAAUAUCUCACUCUUGAAUUCCUUGUGAAGUCAAGAUGUGGACUUUGGAGGUUUUUGCAGGCCAUCACUGGUCAGCUCCUCUUAAAUGCAUUAGCGGAACUCUAUGCAGUUUCAGCCUCGGUUUGAUAAUCCUAUCUAUGCUGUCGCUGAUGACUGUGCUGUUUGGCUUAUAAUUGUCUUCGGACUGUCACUUUUGUGGCAUAAACUUAAGCUGAUCUCAAAUCAGUAG